ACCACUCACUUGUUUUUACUGGAUUUUCUUUUAAUACGGCUUCACAGCAUUUUGUCACAAAGUCCAGCAGAGAGCUUCCCAUUUGCUGCUGCUGCACCUUAGCGCUUCUGAAGCUGCCUGGUUGGGUUGCACCUCUCUGGGUGGAUGCACGUCCCUUCUCCUCCUCCUCCUCCUCCUCCUCCCCACCACCUGCAGCUGCUGGCUUUGGGCAGAGAGCUUUUGCCUUCCUCACUGCAGGCAAGACACGUCUUCUGGAGCAGCAGAGUUAAACAAGUGAUGUGUCCUGGCUACAGCCUUUGGGCUGCGUGCUCAUGAGGCGGCCGGAUCCAACCUGGACUCCCAGCUGGAAAGAGGUACAGGAGGCCAGCCAGGACUAGCAACAGUGCAUGGCAGAGGCUUUGUGAAAUAUGAUUUGUUAAAAAUGCUAUGCUUCACGGGAAGAGGCUUCCUACCAGUGCCUGCAAUCAUGCUGAACCCCAAGACAGCACAUCAUGGAUUUUCAGGAAUCAUCUCUCGAGACAAGCAAGGCCAACAAACCCAAACAGAUGACUGUGUGCAUUACUUACACCGCUGCUUUCUGUUCGGCUGGUGUCAGCAGACUUCUCCAGGCUCCAAUGUCAACCAACACCAACAGACCGAAGCCACGUGUGAAGGUAGCGUGGUGCUGAUAUGCAAAUUCUCACAGCAUCUGUAGGUUUGAGCUGCUUGUGUCAAGGUGAAGCUUAUUCCCCUUCGCCUCCAACUGGGUAGAGGCAGCCACUACAGCAGCAAAAAGUAGUGUGAAACACUGGCAUCAUAGUCACAGGGAGCUAACUGAUCCUGGUGAUGCCUUUUGUGUUCAGGUAGUUUUUCACAUGUGGUGACAUGCAGGUAUAAAUCACUACCCUACUCAACCCUAAAAUACGAGGCCAUAUUCAGUCAAGGUUAUCCUGUUGUCCUACAAGACUAUUAUUUCUGACAAGUUUGAUGCAUAGAUGAAAGUCAGCAAGGCCCCCAAAGCCUUUCUGAGCCUUGCAAGACCGUUGCCUGCAUAUGCUAAAAAGGGAAACCCAAAUAUUUUGUCUUAGUAACCUGCUGCCAUAUGCAUGAGCAGGGGCUGCUCAGCAAAAUCUUUCCUCCUGAUACCUCUUAAAGGACAGUGGGAUAGCCUGAUCCCUUCGUCUUUUGCUUGGAGAAUAUAAAAAAGCUAAAGGCAUAAUGAAAUAUUCUCCUACAUGCACGAGCUGUCCAUGAAAUAAUACUUAUUAUGCUGAGAUACCUGCUUUGAAAUUUGUUUAUAUUAUUGAAAAGAAAGAUACAAAUGGUUUAGAUAUAAAUGUUUGUAACCAAGAUUAAUUGAGCAUCGACUGAAUAAUGCUGAAAAGACUGUGUAAAUCACGCGAAAGCUGGACGAUAAAUACAGGUUGCCAGAGAGAUUACUCCUAAAAGCAUUUCCUCCGACUGAAAUAAGAGAGCCCUGCAAUGCUCUCAGGCAGCAGCCUGGAAGUGUGUGGCUGGGGAAUAUUUCUGCAGGCUGCAAACAGAAUAGGUUUUCCGUUGGUGCCGAGACAAAUGGAUGAAGCAACCCUCAGCCCAAGGAGGGGCCCUGCAUCUGGGUGACGCAGAUGCCCUUGGGCUGCUUUUGUGACUGGAAGCGCAGUGAAAGCUAGGGCCUGCCACAAGAAAUUGUUCACACGUACCUCCCAGCUGCACUGGAAGGCACGUGGGCAUAUGGAGGAUAUCAGGAGUGCUUUUUCAUAUCUAGCUUUCAUUACAAGCAUCCAGGAAAAAAAAUCAGUGGUUUUGUAAAUAAAGGGAUGCCAUCAGGAAUCUCUCGACCAAAGCAAUUCACAGAUUAUUUGUUUUAUGCUGGCUAUUUCUUUUCUCUCUUUUCCUCUCUCUGAUGUGAGAUUUGGCAGCUACACAGGUGACGCUGAUAGCGCGCAAAGGAGCCUUGCCUUGAACUUUGAAUUAUCAUUUAAACCCCUGCUGGCACCGUGCAUGACAUUUGACCAAAGGUAUUAGCAAGUCGUUAGUGAAAAUAGCAGUCUUCAGUGGGUGUUUGUUUGAUUAAUAAAACUGCCAUACAGUUUGUUACAAUUGCUGAUUUCUGGUCAGAAGAGGCCCGCUCAAGGUCGGAAAAUCAAUGCUGCGCUGUGACAAGUCAAGGCUCGCCAUGUGCUGUUAGACCUUACAAAAGGGACUUAAUGCCUGAUGCUAAUACAUCCACUUGUCUCCCCGUGUUCGUGACCUCCAAAGACCCCUGCAGUUAUUAAGAUACAGUGCAAUUUUUUCUUAAGUGUGUAUUUUAAAUUUGAGUAGGUAUUAAGGGCUCCCUGCGAAACGGAUGGAUUCCACAUGCAUGCUUGUCUGUGGAAACAUCUGAAGUGCAAAAGGGUCCGUUAAAUAAACCUCAUUAUACAUCU